GAUCACUGAUGAGUGUUGACAUGUAUUACCUUAUCUAAAGUAGAUGUUUAUCACCAAUUAAGCUCUAGAAUUACUCCGAGACCCA
ensembl:snoRNA